rnacentral:lncRNA from 1 species
CGAUUCAGACUCUCAAGGAUGGAGAAAACAUACAAAAACUAGUGAAAACAAAGAAAAAAUCAAGGAAAAAGGAGAAGCCGAAAAAAUCGAAGGUAAGACAUUUUCCCAUAUGAAUUCAUCAUUUUUUUUUUUUCUCUUCUUGUUUUUUCUUUAUUUCAUUCUAUUUCUUCGGAGAUCCUUGGAAAUGACGGCACUUGAGGGAGAUGGGAGGGGUUUCUUAGGUUCCAUUGAGGUUUAAUGUCUAGUAUAUAAGAUUUUUUAGAAGUUGUGAUGGGAGGGAGGGGUUUCUUCGAAGAUUAGUGGGAAAGGAGAGCACCUGUGGGAGAUGGGAGGGAGGGUUUCUUAGGUUCCUAUUGAGGGUUUUGUUCCUUUAUAAACUCAGUGAGAUUCUGCAAUCUCCUCUGAAAAUUUUGCAAAAAAAAUAAUGUAGUCAAUAAAAAAUCUUCCUUUAACUAAGUUGACCUCCAUCUUCUAUAACAUUACAUGGGAUCCCAAAACCAAAACAGAUGUAAUGUCGAUAUAAAACUAAAAACC